rnacentral:rRNA from 1 species
UGAGGAAUCUUCCGCAAUGGGCGCAAGCCUGACGGAGCGACGCCGCGUGAAGGAUGAAGGCCCUUACGGGUCGUAAACUUCUGUUCUGAGGGACGAAAUUUUUUGACGGUACCUCAGGAGAAAGUAUCGGCAAACCCUGUGCCAGCAGCCGCGGUAAGACAGGGGAUACAAGCGUUACUCGGAAUUACUGGGCGUAAAGCGUCUGUAGGUGCUUUGGUAAGUCUGUGGUAAAAGCUCGGGGCUCAACCCCGAGAGCGUCAUGGAAACUACCGAAGUUGAGCAGUAGAGAGGCAUCUGGAAUGCCGCAUGUAGGAGUAAAAUCCGUAGAUAUGCGGUAGAACGCCAAAAGCGUAGGCAGGAUGCUAGCUACUUGCUGACACUGAGAGACGAAAGCGUGGGGAGCGAAGCGGAUUAGAUACCCUGGUAGUCCCUGAGCGGGCUGGCAAGGCGCAU